UUAAGAACAUCCAGCCACCAGGGGGGGCUGCUGCUCUCCAUCCCGCUGAGUGCUGCUUAUCGUGGUAGAAGAAGAGAGACAACGAUGAGAAGCUGAUGAUGUGGAUGAAGCUGUUAUAUUACUUUGUGUCAUGAAUCUGAUGUUUGUGGUUCAGUGUGCGUCCAGAGAAACAGACUGAGCCGGUCUGACCCCCGGUCUGACCCCCGUCCUCCUCCUGUCAGGGUGGAGCCUGCUGCUGCUGCUGGACCACCCACCACCACCACCACCACCACGGACCACACCAGCUCUGAGCAGGAGGAGGAGGUGGAACUGUGUGUUUUUAUUUCAUUCACACGCACAACAAACUGUCUGACGACAACAGGAAGAUGACACGUGUUGGCGACUGCUGGUUUGGAGGGAACCAUCAUUCCUGGAGUCUGGACUGUUCUGGUGACGGUCGGUACCGGCUCCUUCACAAUACAAGAGGAACAUCUUCCUCCUAGUUAUGUUAUCUGAAUGUCACUGACGGUUUUCUUUGUUGUCACUUAAAUGUGAUAGUAUGCAUAUUAUCUCUGUAUAUGAUGUUCAUGCUAAUAACAUUAUUAUUUGGAUUGUGUGCUAUGGUGAAACAUACGUUUAUGGCUGUUUAUGGAUUUAUAUUAUUCUUUGGUUUGUUCCAGAACCACACACACCCACCACAUCUCUAAGUUCACUCUCUAGACUGGAUUAAAGCACUGUAAAGGAAACUGACAGCUUCCUGCCUCUUCAUUUAAGUCUUGACACGCGCUUCACGAUUAAAAUACAGAGAAAGUCA